AGAGUUUGAUCCUGGCUCAGAUUGAACGCUGGCGGCAUGCCUUACACAUGCAAGUCGAACGGUAACAGGCCGCAAGGUGCUGACGAGUGGCGAACGGGUGAGUAAUGCAUCGGAACGUGCCCAGUAGUGGGGGAUAGCCCGGCGAAAGCCGGAUUAAUACCGCAUACGACCUACGGGUGAAAGCGGGGGACCGAAAGGCCUCGCGCUAUUGGAGCGGCCGAUGUCAGAUUAGGUAGUUGGUGGGGUAAAGGCCUACCGAGCCUACGAUCUGUAGCUGGUCUGAGAGGACGACCAGCCACACUGGGACUGAGACACGGCCCAGACUCCUACGGGAGGCAGCAGUGGGGAAUUUUGGACAAUGGGCGCAAGCCUGAUCCAGCCAUGCCGCGUGCGGGAAGAAGGCCUUCGGGUUGUAAACCGCUUUUGUCAGGGAAGAAAUCUUCUGGGUUAAUACCUCGGGAGGAUGACGGUACCUGAAGAAUAAGCACCGGCUAACUACGUGCCAGCAGCCGCGGUAAU
rnacentral:rRNA from 1 species